AUGGAAGCGAGCGCGGUUCGGCAAAGAAAUAUGGAAGCGAGCUCGGCUGACACCGUCCGGAUCGUGUCCCGGCGCAUGGUCCGGCCGUCGCACGGUGCCAUGCCGGUGCAGCCGUCGGAGGACAUCCACCUCACGCCGUGGGACCUCUGCUGCAUCGGCAUGGAGUAUAUCCAGAGGGGGGUACUCCUGUCCAAGCCUACCGCCGGAGGUGAGAUGAGCUGCCUCGUCGACACACUCGCGUCCUCCCUUGCGCGCGCCCUGGGACGGUACUACCACCUCGCCGGCCGGCUCGCCGUCGAGGAGCACGGCGACAGGACAAUCAUCGUCCCGCUACGCUGCACCGGGGAAGGCGCCGAGCUCGUCCACGCGGCGGCGCCCGGCGUGGCCGUCGCAGACAUCGUCGGCUCGGUGUACACCCCGUCGCCGGUGGUCUGGGGAUUUUUCCCGUUGAACGGGCUCCGUGGCGCGGACGCGGCCAUCGUGUCGCUCCCCGUGCUGUGGGCGCAGGUCACCGAGCUCGCCGACGACAUCUUUAUCGGCAUGUCGAUGAAUCACUCUGUCGGUGAUGGCACCUCCUUCUCGGAGUUGUUCAACGCAUGGUCGGCGAUCAACCGAGGCGACAAACGCAUGGGUGAGAUGGUCUCCACGCCGGCGCGGGUGCACCGAAGGUGGUUCGUCGACACGAGCCCCGUGCCGAUACCCUUUCCGUUCAGCAAGCUGCAGGACGUCGUCCAGCGGUUCGAGCUCCCGCCGGUGCGAGAAGGCUUCUUCUCCUUCUCCGCGGCGAGCGUCAAGAAGCUCAAGGCGAGGGCGAACGACGAGAUGGCCGCCGGCGCCGCCAUCUCCUCGCUCCAGGCCCUGCUCGCGCACCUCUGGCGGGCAGUAUCCCGCGCCCGGCGCCUCCCGCCGGUGCAGGAGACGUUAUGCGCCGUGACCGUCGGGUGCCGGGGGCGCAUGCGCGGCAUCCCGGCGGACUACCUGGGAAACGCCAUAGAGAUCCGCGUAGCCGGCUGCACCGUCGGCGAGAUCCUGGACAACGGACUGGGCUGGACGGCGUGGCAGCUGAACAGCGUCGUGGGGUCGUUCGACGAGGCGGGCGUGCAGGAGUUGAAGAAGCUAAUGGAGGAGGCCAACGACGGCACCUUGACCCCCAUGUUGGCAGCAGCGGCCCCGCGCAGCAGCUCCCGCUGCAGAUCGUCGGCCCGGUGCACGGUGGCUCCAGCAGCAGCUCCUCGGCCCGGCGAGGCGGCUCCCGCUGCAGCUCGGCAGCUCGGCGGCCCGGCGCGGCAGCUCCCACUGCAGGUCGUCGGCCCGGCGCGGCGGCUCCCGCUGCAGCUCCUCGGCCCUGGGAGGCGGCUCCCGUUGCAGCUCGGUGGUCCACCGCGGUGA
rnacentral:rRNA from 1 species